GACGAACGCUGGCGGCGUGCUUAACACAUGCAAGUCGAACGGAAAGGCCCUGCUUUUGUGGGGUGCUCGAUUGGCGAACGGGUGAGUAACACGUGAGUAACCUGCCCUUGACUUUGGGAUAACUUCAGGAAACUGGGGCUAAUACCGGAUAGGAGCUCCUGCUGCAUGGUGUGGGUUGGAAAGUUUCGGCGGUUGGGGAUGGACUCGCGGCUUAUCAGCUUGUUGGUGGGGUAGUGGCUUACCAAGGCUUUGACGGGUAGCCGGCCUGCGAGGGUGACCGGCCACAUUGGGACUGAGAUACGGCCCAGACUCCUACGGGAGGCAGCAGUGGGGAAUAUUGCACAAUGGGCGGAAGCCUGAUGCAGCAACGCCGCGUGCGGGAUGACGGCCUUCGGGUUGUAAACCGCUUUCGACUGUGACGAAGCGUGAGUGACGGUAAUGGGUAAAGAAGCACCGGCUAACUACGUG
rnacentral:rRNA from 1 species